rnacentral:rRNA from 1 species
AAAAGAAACUAACAAGGAUUCCCUUAGUAGCGGCGAGCGAAGUGGGAAGAGCUCAAAUUUGAAAUCUGGCGUCUUUCAGGCGUCCGAGUUGUAAUCUAUAGAAGCGUUUUCUGUGCUGGACCGUGUCCAAGUCCCUUGGAACAGGGUAUCAAAGAGGGUGACAAUCCCGUACUUGACACGACAACCAGUGCUGUGUGAUACGUUUUCGACGAGUCGAGUUGUUUGGGAAUGCAGCUCAAAAUGGGUGGUAAAUUCCAUCUAAAGCUAAAUAUUGGCGAGAGACCGAUAGCGAACAAGUACCGUGAGGGAAAGAUGAAAAGCACUUUGGAAAGAGAGUUAAACAGUACGUGAAAUUGUUGAAAGGGAAACGAUUGAAGUCAGUCGUGUCUAUUGGUUUCAGCCGGUUCCUGCCGGUGUAUUACCUUUAGACGGGUCAACAUCAGUUUUGGACGGUAGAAAAGAGCGAUUAGAAUGUAGCACCUCCGGGUGUGUUAUAGCUUGUCGUUGCAUAUACUGUCUGAGACUGAGGCAUGCAGCUCGCCUUCACAGGCCGGGGCUCGCCCACGU